rnacentral:misc_RNA from 1 species
GUUUUAGUUAUCAUGUUUAUUGGUACUAAAUCCCUCCUUAAUAUUGGGCUGUGAAGUGCUCAAAAUGGAGUGACAUGAAUUGUUCUGAUUGAUAUAGCUGACCAACUUGCUUGGGAUUGACUUGUAGUUGUUGAUUGGAACUAAAUAACUUCAGUGGAUACUUCUUGCUUAAAUUGGUUUACUUAGUUCACUUUGUGGUUAACUUUUAGAU